CUAUGAUUCUAUGAUGUGAUUCUGUGUGUGACUAGGUGUCUGAGAAAGCCUAGAGCCAACAACAAAACAGAAUUUGCUAGCUAGUGAUUUGGAAAAGUCCUCACAAAAUUGAUUCCAUUAUUUCUGCCAGCACAAAUGUGUAUCUAGCUGCUGUGAGAUUGUUCUGAAUCAUGGCAGAGUACUGAAAAGUUACAAACAUACAUGCACCCAUGCCACGGACCUACUGCAAAGGCCAAGGUACUAAUAACAAUAUUUGCAAGAGUCCAGGAGCAGGACACUGAUUCGGAAAGUCCCCUGGGAAGCAGCCAUUAAAAACAAGAGGGCUCAGGAAGACUGGACACACUUUAAGAAAGAAAUCUUCAAGAAGAAACUGCAGACCUUCCCUAGAUGCCAGAAGGUUUUCUCCUUGAGCUCGGCCUACAGUCACUUGCAGGAGAACCACCUUCUACUAAAUCUCCCUUGGCAGACAAAUACAAUUAAGCAAGAUGAAUUCCACCCUUAACAAGCACUUCAAACUAAUCACUACAGUGAAAACAACUGUCCCAAAUAAUAUUAAACAGGCUGUAACUGAA